GUAUGUAUGUAUGCAUGUGUGGGCAUGUAUGUGUGUAUGCAUUUAUAUAUGCAUGUAUGAGUGUAUGUACGUAGCCAUGCACGUAUAUACGUAUAUUUGUAUGCUUGCUUUUAUGUACGUGUAUAUGCAUGUGUGCAUACAUGCCCACUAUGCAUGCUUUCACACGAGUAAGUUCACAUGUAUGUAUGUAUGUAUGUAUGUAUGUGCACAUGUACACAUGGGUACAGGAAUAAAUGGGGAUCUUUAUUCCAUUCUAAAUUUUAGGAAUGCUUUGCAUUAUUUGACAGGCUGAAGUUCUAAUCUUCUGAGUAGUUUUAGGUCGACCCAAGUUUUAUAAGUGAAACUGGAUUCAUGGGAACGGUGGCAGAGCGACAGAUUCUUUGUAUCCAUAAUUUCAAAGGCACAUACUGUGACAGAAAGAAUUUGCCUGAGAAAUACGUCCAAGAUGCUGACAUUCAGUCAAUUACAUUAACAUUCCACGAGAAAGAUAAAAUCAGGAGCGAAUUACAGAGAACCGAUGUUUUGGUAAAGAAAAAUUGGAUAUAGUUAUUAGUGAGGAGCCUGUUGAGAUGGACACAGCCAGAGUGAUGAAAUGGAGAGAGACAUGAAUAGGAUGGGAAUGUCUGAGUGGAUUUGGUACAAGCUCAAUCAGCUACACGGAACAGAGGCUGUUAUUGUUGGGAUCGAAAAAUACCGAAGACAUUACACUCAUUGAAAGUUUUUUUAACGACAAGCAAUCAAAUAUCCGUAUUGAAAAGAUGACACCUAACUCUCUACGUUGUUUCGCCCUUCUCUGCUUACUCGUCUGUGGUUCUGAGGCAUGGUUUGCAUUGGGGACUUGCGGUGAUAAACAUUACCAGAAGGAUCUUCAAAUCUGCUGCGGUGAAACUAUACACUUCGUAACAGGAAACAGCUUCUCGUGCUGUGGAGAAAACAAUUAUGACUUAAGUACCCAUAAAUGUCAAAAUGGAAAGAUCGUCGAAAGAGCAUGAUAUCCCAGAGAGAAACGAAUAUUAUGUUUAUUACUAUCUACAAAUGAUAUUCUAUUUGUAUUAAUUGCUAUAUUAAUCAAUAAAUAUUAAAUAUAUCCCAAAAUA